rnacentral:rRNA from 1 species
CACGGUUUGUGCGACGCAGCUAACGCAUUAAGCGCCCCGCCUGGGGAGUACGAUCGCAAGAUUAAAACUCAAAGGAAUUGACGGGGCCCCGCACAAGCAGCGGAGCAUGCGGCUUAAUUCGACGCAACGCGAAGAACCUUACCAAGGCUUGACAUAUACAGGAAUAUGGCAGAGAUGUCAUAGCCGCAAGGUCUGUAUACAGGUGGUGCAUGGUUGUCGUCAGCUCGUGUCGUGAGAUGUUGGGUUAAGUCCCGCAACGAGCGCAACCCUCGUUCUGUGUUGCCAGCAUUUAGUUGGGGACUCACAGGAGACUGCCGGGGUUAACUCGGAGGAAGGUGGGGAUGACGUCAAAUCAUCAUGCCCCUUAUGUCUUGGGCUGCACGCAUGCUACAAUGGCUGGUACAAACGGCUGCGAUACCGCAAGGUGGAGCGAAUCCGAUAAAGCCAGUCUCAGUUCGGAUUGGGGUCUGCAACUCGACCCCAUGAAGUCGGAGUUGCUAGUAAUCGUAGAUCAGCAACGCUACGGUGAAUACGUUCCCGGGGCUUGUACACACCGCCCGUCACAUCACGAAAGUCGGUAACACCCAAA